rnacentral:lncRNA from 1 species
AUGGAGUCUUACAGUAUAUCGACAGAUAGUUCUCCAGUGAGAGUGGUGCAAGUGAUCCUUUAACCUGAGAUCACCAUGGUAUCUUGUGUACAUGGAUCCUUACUUGGUUUAUUCUCUAGCAUACCACUUUGAGAUGUGUGUGGGAUAUUCUGGGUAUGGUGAAGUGUGCAUGAAGGUUGUGAGUAGUUAAUAAGGAAUCGAUCACUCCUUAUAGGAGGAGAGAACAUCCUAUGUGAUCUCAUAGGAUGAUGACUCUAAGAG